GAUGAACGCUGGCGGCGUGCCUAACACAUGCAAGUCGAACGAAGCACUGCAGACGGAGAUUCGUCGAAGCCUGCUUUGACUUAGUGGCGGACGGGUGAGUAAUGCGUGAGCAACCUGCCUUUCAGAGGGGGACAACAGUUGGAAACGACUGCUAAUACCGCAUGAUGUAUAUUGGAGGCAUCUCUGGUAUACCAAAGGAGCAAAUCCGCUGAAAGAUGGGGCUCAUGUCUGAUUAGCUAGUUGGUGAGGUAACGGCU
rnacentral:rRNA from 1 species